AAAAAAAAAAAACAAGAUCAAGGAAGAGCAAGGGCAUCUCAAACAAAUCUGCAGACCACACAGCACUCAGCCCCACCUCAUCCUUCUAUCGGGGUCCAGCCUCCCACCACACUUGACCUGUCCCCUACUGGCUAACACUUGUGUUCGCUCCAGGAUUUUGCUUUACCCAAAUAGGAUAAAUUCCUAGAAGUGCAGUUUCUCUCUCAGAGAAUAUGUGCAUUUGAAAUCUACACUCUUGCCCAGUGUAGUUUUGAAAACACAGUAGCAUUCUCGAGCCCCUGAACAAGUCACGUGGGGGGACCUGUUUCUGACACCCUUUCCUACCCCAGCAAGGAUGCCGUGUGGCCGGAAGCCAAAAAUUCCCAAAAAGGUAAGUUGAACUUUCUACUGUGUGGGCUGAGGUUGGGGGCGGACGUGGCCUCCGAGGUUGACCCCUGUAGCUUUCCUAGGAGAAGAGCCGUUGGGAGCGUUCGGUAGUUUUGGGUUUUAUAAACAAAGACAGGGUUUGGGGAGGUGAGCCAGGACUGUGCAGCCAGCAGCACUGCGAGAGCCAGUAUUUAUUUCUCCAGCACGGUUAGAAGUUAAAUAUGGUCAAAACAUAUUCUUCUUUUUAAUUUACACAAACAAAUAUGUUCCCAGGCUGACACCUCCGAUGCCAAGUUUCUAGGGGAAACGAAAUUCUGCUGUGAGAUCGUAAACCACUAGAGAGAGAGGGAUGGGAAUGGAGAAGCCACGGCGCGUUGGCUGUCCACGCCCAGAACCCGGCUGAGCCGCUGAGAGGUGUCUCUGUCUCGGUUGCAGAUGGACCUGCCAGAAAUCUCAGCCCGAGGAACCGUGCGGGCGUGUCAAGGCCAGAGGAUGGAAGAGACUCGGGUUCUGAUAAAAGGAGACCUGCUUGGCUUGGCAUCUGCUCUCCUGCCCAUCAGGAGGCUGCAACGCUGUUUCCAGAGCCGCCUGAUGAAUCAGGGGGGAGAGAGGCACAAGGACACCGGUUCCAGCCCCGGAGAUUCUGUCCUGUGAUUUAUGGGGACAGGGACUGGCAUCGGAAGGUUUUAUGAUUGCACAUGAGACUCCAGUGUGCAGCCAGGAAGGAAACCGGCUCGAUGGGAGGAUCCGCACUCGGGAUGUUGGAAGGGGCUGCGUGGUCUCUUGGGGACCAGGACGUGGGCUUCUCCCAGAGCAGCCUCGGGGGAGAACCGAGGCUCACGCCCCUGGGAGACUCCAGGGCUUCCUCACACGCUCCCAGCUUGAUGGGAGACACAGUGGGGGGCUUUGCUUUUAGACACCAGACUUGAUCACGUGUCCCUGUGGGAUCACAGAGCCGAGGUGAAGACCUGUGGCUUGAACUGGAACCUCUCAUGAGGCUUACGGACAGGAGCGUGUGUUUGCUGGCUCCCUCCACGGAGAAGUGAGACCGAGCGGCUCCUUGUGUGUGCAGGGAGCACCCUGUCACCCGGGGUUACGGGCUCUAAACACCACUGUCCAUUAGAACUCGGGGCUCCGUGGAGAAGCGGCCAGUUCCCAGAUCUGCGUGCGGCAAGAGAUGUUGCAGGGGAACUGGGAACGUCUUGUCAUUGGGAAGCAAGGCGGGUGUCGGUGACUCCUGGGGUCAAAUCCACGAGGAUACGGGAGACCACACGAAGAGGCUUGGCCGAAAGGGACAGCUUGAACAUCCACAAGAGUCGUCACCGCAGAGUGGUGCUGGGGGCUGACGUCAUGGAGAAAGCUAACCAGAGUUCGGGCCCUGAAUGAAUGGAAUCCAAAAUAGCGAGACUAGGAAACAGAGAGAAGUCAAACAGGGGUCUAAGUGAGCUUCCAGCUCUACCAACUUACAAGAAGCACGGGACAGAGAAGAUCCUUCAGGGGGCGCACCAAGCAAAAUCCAGACCCCCCAGAAGCUCCACAAAACCCUGUUGCUUCAACAAAAAAAAUUACAAGGGAAGACAUGGAGAGGGGAAGGACACACACCAGCCAAUGGGGACAGUUUCCAUGAAGACUUAGUUUCUCAAUAUCCUCCAAAUCUAUGAGCUCCAUUUGGAUCCCGAUUGGACCCAACUAUAAAGAAAACAUCGACGAGACAACUAGAGAAACUGGAAUCCUGAUCGGAUAUUUGCUGAUAUUAAAAACAUCCCUGUCGCGGGGGCGCCGUGGCGCAUGCCCGUCAUCCCAGCAGCUCGGGAGGCCGAGGCAGGAGGAUCAUGAGUUCAAAGCCAGCCUCGGCAAUUUAGCUAAGUCCCUGAGCAACUUAGCCCAGACCCUGUCUCAAAAUAAAAUUAUAAAAAAGGGCUGGGAAUGUGGCGGCUCCGGGAUUAAGUGCCCCUGGGUUCAAUCCCCAGUACCAAAAAAAAAAAAAAAAAAUCACUGUUGGCCUGGGGACGUAGGUCAGUAAAAAGUUACUGUUUAUAGGAGUGGAGGAGGUAAAAAGAAAUUUUUUUCUUGGGAGUCAUAUACAGAAAUAUUUGCAAAAGAAAUAACCAACGUCAGGAAUUUGUUUCAAAAUAGUCUGGGAGGAGAGAAGGGGAGGAGGGGAGGGAGGUGUCCGUGGCUGAGGGCUGGCGAUUGCCGUGGCUGGGCUCCUGACUCCUGACCACACACUCUGUCCCUCGCCCCGUGUGUGCAAGAAGCUUUUCAAAAUAAAAAGGAAAAAAUAAGGAAAACUAGCCUUUUCCUGCCCUUCUCUCAAAAGGAUCAGGUUGAUCGGCCACCCGGGGCCUGCAUCCCUGGGGCCAGCCUGGGCAGCAAGCUCAGUAUACACAUCUUGAAGCAGCCCACCCCCCGUCUCCAUGGCAACCAGCAUCCAGAAGCCUCCCACCCCCAAGAGGGUCAGGCCAGGCUGCCAGGGUCACGCCGCUGCUCCUCCCUUGGGAGAGUCCCCUAGAUGGGUCUUCGACCAGAGCGGCCUCUCGGCACCCUGUCCCCCUUCCUCUUGCUGCCUCUGUGCAGCCCCUGAAGGAGGAGAGGACAGUUAGCGGGAAGAAGAGACCCUGAAUCAGAUCCAGGUUCAAAUGCUGACCUUCGGGUUCCUCAUCUGUAAAGUGGGUGUAACGGUCCCUCCACGAACUCAGCAGAUCUUUGCAAAGGAAGAUCCACGGCAAAGGGAGCUGGGGGGAGGAUCCAGCUCUACCUGGUGGAACCCGGCAGACCCUCCAGAAUGAAGGGUGAUCUCAGUACCGCGGAAAAGUCAGGAUCAAAUUGAGAGGCAGGGGUGACCCCAUCGAAGGUCAGGUCCCAGUUUUCGAAUCAAACUGGCAGUCGCCCUUGGAGAGCCUGACUCGGAGCCCACCUUCCAUGAGCCAAAGUCACCACCCCUCCAGCUACUCAUCACCUCGCUACCGCAAACACUGGAAGAACUUCGCUUGGUGCCUCCAUUUCCAUGGGGCAAGGACCACCUCUGGAGGGAGCAGUGGGCUUGGAGAAGAGAGGUCGCCCACCCAGGCCACACUCUUGGUACACGGCCCCCGUCUCUUAUGCUCUGGGGUCUGUGUCCUGAUUACGCGUUGCAGUUCAGUAACAGCAGAAAAUCAGUGCUACGAGGAAGCCGGCUUCAUUUUGCAAAGGAACAAAGUAGCCCAGAGAGGCCAAGUCAUAUGUCUGAGGCCACACAGUGAACGAGCAGCUAAGCCCAUGUCCAGGCUCCUUGGGGACAAGUGCAGGGAAGCCCCACACAGUGGGGGAAGCCAACUCUUAACUGCCCCGUUUGAUCCUGUCCCAGAGUAGGGUGACCAGCUGUGCCAGUUUGCUCGGAACUGCUGAGCUUGGGACUGGGGACUUUCCGGGCUAAAUCAGGAAGGUCCUGGCCAUCGCCCCACCUGUGGGGUGCAACGGCCUCACUCACACUCCCUUCCACAGAGGGGAGGCAUCUAAAUGCAGGAAACAAGGGUCUGGGAUGCAGCCAGCUAAGGAGAGCCAGGGAGACCUCACAGAGGGUUAGGGGCUCCAUGCUGCUGGUACCCUGCGACCGACCACCCACAUCAUGAGAGGCUUCAGCACCUUUCUUAGGUCCCCUCCCAUCUGUCCUGCCCCCAGUAGCCAGUGUCCUUUAUAUGCUGCAAUCGGAUGACCCUCUGCCUCGGUUUACAAACCUUGGUGGCUCCCCAUUGAGAUUUUUCUUUUGCUUGGGAAGCUUUGCAGGUGCAGGAACCCCUGGGUGGGCUUGUCCCUGACCACCUGUCGGAACCUCCCUCUGGAACCAACCUGGCCCUUACAAGAUUCCAAGCAGGGUCAGGCUCACCUAAGACGCAUUAGCGACACCCUCCCUCUCCCCAGGACUCCCCCACCCCACCCCACCUCUUCUCUUCCAAGAUACCAGCCUAACUGGGAUCACAGGCUGAUGGACCUAAUCGACUCUUAAUAUCAAGUCUCCCCUUCUGGCCCGACCUCCACCUGAGAUCACAGAAAGCCACCGAGACCCCCUGUUCUCAAUUUCAGGCAGGUCUGCAUGAUGUCACAGGAUGGAAGAUCAUCCCCCCCAAAUGACCGGUGGCAGCCUGGAUCAGGGGUAUUUUUUGUUGUUGUUAAUUAGUGUCCCUCUUCUGCCCACUCCUUAGCUCUGUUCACAUCCCUCACCUGGCACUAGCUUAGGAAAAAAAAAAAAAAUCCAGGCAAAAAAAAAAAAAAAUAGGAGCCCAA